rnacentral:lncRNA from 1 species
GGGUAUUGCAGUUAGAAAUGAAUAUGCCAAAGCAAGAUUUAUUAAAUUUCUCUUACUAUUUUAAUUUGUUUUUCCUAUGAAAGCUAUGAAGCUGAGAACAUUUUGAAGUUUAUGAGUCAACUGUACUUGUUCUUCUAAAUCAAUGUCUUCAUGCCUGGAACAUGAAUUCAGUAUCUCUUGGUGAAGCAGUUAAUAUGUAGCAGUGAGGAUGAAACACACACACUCGGGGAGAUGAUGCAGAAAAAAAUGAAAUGAGAG